CGCGGUCUUCAAACUGUUGAUGCUCUAGUUCUACUUCUAGUGUGAAACACUUCCUUGUUUGGGGACCUUUUGUUGUCUGAUGAAAAAACACCUCACCGGAACUCUCAAGGUGUUCUACACGCAGUUCAUCGGACAAACCGCUAGAUGGGGACCGAGUGCAUAUUCUAUCACCUGCGUCCAUCAUAUCAGACUAUUAUUCUGGACCAUGAUGCGAACCGAUGCCAGCCGUUGUUCUGUUGGGCCAGAGGAGGAAGUGAUGUCAGAUGGAGGGGAGGAAGUGAUGUCAGAUGGAGGGGAACAUGGCAAAGCUCCUCGACCUAAAGACCAAGCGUAGACACUUAGAUAUAAUUACCGGCCUGUUCGUCUAUCUGUCUGUGUCUAUCUGUCUGCCUCUCUGUCGGCCUCUCUGUCUGUAACGCUGUCCGUUCUCUGUCAGUCCUUCUCUCUUUGUCUACAUUCCUGUCUACCUGUCUGUCUAUCUGUCUGUCUUUCUGUGUCUACCUGUCUGUAUCUCUCUCUACAAAUCAUCCUCCGCCAACUUCCAGAAAAUAACUUCCUUCUUUGAGUAUUUUGA